ACGGGAGCUUGCUCCUGGUGGCGAGUGGCGAACGGGUGAGUAAUACAUCGGAACGUACCCAGGAGUGGGGGAUAACGUAGCGAAAGUUACGCUAAUACCGCAUAUUCUGUGAGCAGGAAAGCGGGGGAUCGCAAGACCUCGCGCUCUUGGAGCGGCCGAUGUCGGAUUAGCUAGUUGGUGAGGUAAAAGCUCACCAAGGCGACGAUCCGUAGCAGGUCUGAGAGGAUGAUCUGCCACACUGGGACUGAGACACGGCCCAGACUCCUACGGGAGGCAGCAGUGGGGAAUUUUGGACAAUGGGGGCAACCCUGAUCCAGCCAUGCCGCGUGAGUGAAGAAGGCCUUCGGGUUGUAAAGCUCUUUCGGCGGGGAAGAAAUGGCAACGGCUAAUAUCCGUUGUUGAUGACGGUACCCGCAUAAGAAGCACCGGCUAACUACGUGCCAGCAGCCGCGGUAAUACGUAGGGUGCGAGCGUUAAUCGGAAUUACUGGGCGUAAAGCGUGCGCAGGCGGUUUCGUAAGACAGACGUGAAAUCCCCGGGCUCAACCUGGGAAACUGCGUUUGUGACUGCGAGGCUAGAGUAC
rnacentral:rRNA from 1 species